rnacentral:rRNA from 1 species
UGCGGCCGCGACUCCGGUUGAUCCUGCCGGACCCGACCGCUAUCGGGGUGGGGCUAAGCCAUGGAAGUCGAACGCUCCGCAAGCGCGGGGCGUGGCGCACGGCUGAGUAAUACGUGGCUAACCUGCCCUCGGGACAGGGAUAGUCCCGGGAAACUGGGACUAAUCCCUGAUAGGUGAAGAGGUCUGGAAAGCCUCUUCGCCGAAAGGAUCGAACCGCCGUGAAGGUUCGAUCGCCCGAGGAUGGGGCCACGGCCCAUCAUGGUAGUUGGCGGGGUAACGGCCCGCCAAGCCGAAGACGGGUAGGGGCCGUGUGAGCGGGAGCCCCCAGAUGGGCACUGAGACAAGGGCCCAGGCCCUACGGGGCGCACCAGGCGCGAAACCUCCGCAAUGCGGGAAACCGUGACGGGGCCACCCCGAGUGCCCCGAAGAGGGGCUUUUCCCCGCUGUAAGAAGGCGGGGGAAUAAGCGGGGGGCAAGUCUGGUGUCAGCCGCCGCGGUAAUACCAGCCCCGCGAGUGGUCGGGACGCUUAUUG